rnacentral:rRNA from 1 species
AUACGGAGGGGGCUAGCGUUGUUCGGAAUUACUGGGCGUAAAGCGCGCGUAGGCGGUUUACCAAGUCAGGCGUGAAAGCCCCAGGCUCAACCUGGGAACUGCGCUUGAUACUGGUAGACUAGAGGCCGGGAGAGGGUAGUGGAAUUCCCAGUGUAGAGGUGAAAUUCGUAGAUAUUAGGAAGAACACCAGUGGCGAAGGCGGCUCACUGGUCCGGUACUGACGCUGAGGUGCGAAAGCGUGGGGAGCAAACAGGAUUAGAUACCCCAGUAGUCC